GACGAACGCUGGCGGCGUGCUUAACACAUGCAAGUCGAGCGGUAAGGCCCUUUCGGGGGUACACGAGCGGCGAACGGGUGAGUAACACGUGGGUGACCUGCCCUCAGCUCUGGGAUAAGCCUGGGAAACCGGGUCUAAUACCGGAUAUGACUCCAUGACGCAUGUUGUGGGGUGGAAAGCCUUGUGCGGCUGAGGAUGGGCCCGCGGCCUAUCAGCUUGUUGGUGGGGUGAUGGCCUACCAAGGCGACGACGGGUAGCCGGCCUGAGAGGGCGACCGGCCACACUGGGACUGAGACACGGCCCAGACUCCUACGGGAGGCAGCAGUGGGGAAUAUUGGACAAUGGGCGCAAGCCUGAUCCAGCGAUGCCGCGUGUGUGAAGAAGGCCUGCGGGUUGUAAAGCUCUUUCAGCGGGGAAGAUAAUGACGGUACCGCAGAAGAAGCCCGGCUAACUUCGUGCCAGCAGCCGCAGUAAG
rnacentral:rRNA from 1 species